rnacentral:rRNA from 1 species
GACGAACGCUGGCGGCGCGCCUAACACAUGCAAGUCGAACGGAGCUGAGAGAAGCUUGCUAUUCUUAGCUUAGUGGCGAACGGGUGAGUAACGCGUGAGUAACCUGCCCUGGAGUGGGGGACAACAGUUGGAAACGACUGCUAAUACCGCAUAAGCCCACGAUCCGGCAUCGGAUUGAGGGAAAAGGAUUUAUUCGCUUCAGGAUGGACUCGCGUCCAAUUAGCUAGUUGGUGAGGUAACGGCCCACCAAGGCGACGAUUGGUAGCCGGACUGAGAGGUUGAACGGCCACAUUGGGACUGAGACACGGCCCAGACUCCUACGGGAGGCAGCAGUGGGGGAUAUUGCACAAUGGGGGAAACCCUGAUGCAGCGACGCCGCGUGGAGGAAGAAGGUUUUCGGAUUGUAAACUCCUGUCGUUAGGGACGAUAAUGACGGUACCUAACAAGAAAGCACCGGCUAACUACGUG